UUAGUUUUAUGACAAAUUCACUCAUGGCCAAAUCUAAUAUGGCAGCUGGAAAAAGCAAAGGAUCUUUUUAGUCUAACCAAGCUAUACAACUUAAUAAAAGUUUGUGCAUCGACUUCUCACGAAUCAUACACAGAGUCGAUUGUCGAUGCAAUAAUUACUGUUUCGUGAAAGCGGGCAACUUUUGCUUGUCUUAAAGUGCCUUAAAUCUAACAGAUAUCAUCGUUAUAAUAUUACUUUGUUUGUAAAUUGUUUUAAAAAAUAAAUUUAAAAAUAACUUUUAAAUAAA